rnacentral:rRNA from 1 species
GCGCAGCAGGCGAGAAUCCUUCGCAAUGCAGGAAACUGCGACGAGGGAACUCCAAGUGCCUACGCUCAGCGUAGGCUGUUCUCAAGCCAAGAAAGCUUGAGGAGUAAGGGCUGGGUAAGACGGGUGCCAUCUGUGGUAGCAGUCAAUAGAUUCGAUUUGUUACUGCAAGGCAUAAGCCGCCGCGGUAAUACCCGCAGCCCAAGUGGUGGCCGCUUUUAUUGGGCCUAAAGCGUCCGUAGCCGGCCCGGUAAAUGCCUGGGUAAAUCGUGGAGCCCAACGUUCACGAAAUUCCGGGUAGACUGCCGAGCUCGGGACCGGAAGAGGGAGAGGGUACUUCAGGGGUAGGGGUGAAAAUUUCCUUUCCA